GACCAGCAACUUGGAGGAAUGUAUAGCAAUAGCUGCAUGCAUCAUUGCAAAAAUGAUGCAGGAUCGACUAUGUCGAAUAAAAUUCUAGGUAGAAUUAUGAUAAUGACAUUGUCUGCCUAUGUGUCUUGACCAAAUUACGUGCCAGCAGUCGCGGUAAUACGUAGAAGACUAGUGUUAUUCAUGUUUAAUCGGUUUAAAGGGUACCUAGACGGCAAAUCAAGCCUAAAUUUAAGUAAAAUGAAGGGACUAAUUUGCUAGAGUUACUUAUGAGGGGGUAUUAAAGUACUGCUGGUGUAGAGAUGAAAUUCUGUCAUACCUCUUUUCAAUAGAAAAAUAAUGGCACAGGUAUAGGCGAAAGCAUCCCCUUAUGUGAUAACUGACGUUGAGGGACGAAGGCUUUUUGUAGCGAACAGGAUUAGAUACCCUAGUAGUCAAAGCAGAAAAUGAUGAAUGUCAUAGAUUAGAUAUACAAGUUUAUUCUAUAAAUGAAAGUGUAAGCAUUCCACCUCAAGAGUAAUUUGGCAACAUUGGAACUGAAAUCAUUAGACCGUUUCUGAAACCAGUAGUGAAGUAUGUUGUUUAAUUUGAUGAUCCGCAAAAAACCUUACCACAAUUUGAAUAUUUAUAUUUUUUUUUUAUUGUUUUCUUAUUAAUUUUCUUCUAAUAAUAACAACAAACAAAAAAAAAGGAAAAAAAUUAAUAAAGAGGCAAUAAUAUAUAUUUACAAGCGUUGCACGGCUGUCUUCAGUUAAUGUCGCGAGACUUUGGUUAGUUCCAUUAAAUUAACGUAAACCCUUACUUUAUUUUUAUAUAAAGUAGUUCUCCACUAUAUUGGAUAAGAUAACAGGACUAAGACA
rnacentral:rRNA from 1 species